UACGAAGGGGGCUAGCGUUGUUCGGAAUUACUGGGCGUAAAGGGCGCGCAGGCGGCCCUCCAAGUCAGGCGUGAAAGCCCCGGGCUCAACCCGGGAACAGCGCUUGAGACUGGGGGGCUUGAGUUCGGGAGAGGAGAGUGGAAUUCCCAGUGUAGAGGUGAAAUUCGUAGAUAUCGGGAGGAACACCAGUGGCGAAGGCGGCGAUCUGGGAACAUACUGACGCUGAGGUGCGAAAGCGUGGGGAGCAAACAGG
rnacentral:rRNA from 1 species